AAGCAUGUGACUUACUCGUGUGACCCUGGACUCCACCUUGUGCCUGUAAUUUUCCACCAACUGAGACUGGGAGCUUUGUUUGGGACAGUAAAAUUCCAUCCACGUGGGAGAGGGCAUAAAAGACCCUGGAAACAUCUUCAUUUUGUCUUCAUUUCCUGCUUCAUUUCUCUGCACUGGAUUUCUGAAGGAAGCUCUAAAUGAGGACUGAUGACCCCCAAGCUGUUUGGAUUCAGACUAACAUGGCUACCCCUCUGAUACUUGACACCAGUUUGGGGUGAGUCUGCCCUAUUUCUCAGCAGUUUGUCCUGAAUCUGACAUCCUCAGCUGUGACCCACUGAGGCACAGUGACAAGUUUAUCUCACAGGAAUGUUGUACAGGAAGAAUAACAGGCAGCCAAAGCACUGCGCCUGACACAGAGGACAAUCUGCAGACAACAGAAGAUAUAUGCACAUAUGUCAAAAAUAUGCAGAGUAUGUCCCUAAAUCAUUUUUAUACCUAUAAAUAUGGACAGAUUUAAAUGCACAAACAACUUUGCACAAAGUCACAGCUUUACAAAUGUCUAAAACUAGCAGGAUUCAAGGGCACAUAUGGGGAAGACAUGAUGUGUUUUGCAGGAUAGAGUUACAAGUAAUAUACAUUUCCACAAGCUACAAGCAGAAAAGUUGAAUGCAUAUAUUUAUAAAAGGGGUUUGAAGAGCUGAAUGAUUUAGCAGAAAGAGAAUAUGAAAUAAAAGAAGCAGCUCCAUUUAAUAGUAAGCACAGUAAUUAGAAUUUCUACUCUGAAUAUUACAGAAAAGAAAAUGUUCAUGAAAAGGGGAAUACCUAGGCUUUACUAACUCAUUGCUGAUGUAAAGUGAACAUUUAAAUGGGCAAGAAUUUUGUGAAUGUUGGGCAUUUCUAUAGUUUGAUUUGUGUUAAAAUAUGUAUUAAAAUAUUCUGGAGUCCUAAAAAUGUGUAAGUACAAGUGUGUGCUUGAGUCUGUGAAAAAGAUCCUUUUUUAGGUUCUAAUGAAAAAUGUAAAUAAGGGCAAGAAACGUUGUCUUUUAUUUCAAUACAUAAGUUGGAUUUUCUUUCUGAUCUACCCUCUGAGGAUUCUUUUUUUCCAGUGUGGGAUUGACCAUGUACUGUAUACUGUCUAACAUUUUUUAAAUUAAAACCAUAUGGAUGAAAUCAAUUUAUUGUCUUGCAGAUGUUGAAAUCCAGUCUUGUUUGAGUUUAACUACUUACAUAGAAUAUACAUGUUUCCUGUAUAUCUAUUUUGUAUCUUUGUAAUAAUUCACCAUAUUGCUUUUCAUUAGUGUCCUUUUCUGUA